rnacentral:rRNA from 1 species
GAUGAACGCUGGCGGCGUGCCUAAUACAUGCAAGUCGAGCGAACAGACGAGGAGCUUGCUCCUCUGACGUUAGCGGCGGACGGGUGAGUAACACGUGGAUAACCUACCUAUAAGACUGGGAUAACUUCGGGAAACCGGAGCUAAUACCGGAUAAUAUAUUGAACCUCAUGGUUCAAUAGUUAAAGACGGUUUUGCUGUCACUUAUAGAUUGAUCCGCGCCGCAUUAGUUAGUUGGUAAGGUAACGGCUUACCAAGGCAACGAUGCGUAGCCGACCUGAGAGGGUGAACGGCCACACUGGAACUGAGAAACAGUCCAGACUCCUACGGGAGGCAGCAGUAGGGAAUCUUACGCGAGGGGCGAGAGCCGGACGGAGCAAAGCCGCGGAAGUGAUGAAGGAGUUCGGAUCGGAAAACGCUGUUAUUAGGGAAGAACAAAUGUGUAAGUAACUAUGCACGUAUUGACGGUACCGAAACAGAAAGCCACGGCUAACUACGUG